rnacentral:misc_RNA from 1 species
CGGGGGGAAAAAAAUGACGAAUACAUACAAAUUUUUUUCUUGUACAAACAAUUGCCUAUAAAAUGCGGCAGAAAUCAUUUACACUCAAAAACCACUAAUCCUCAAAACCCAACAAACUAUAUAGAAGCAGCCUGGCUAAAAAUAAUAAAAAAAUAUGAACCAAGCCUGUUACAGGCAUGAGAAAAUAUGAGGCAUCAUUGCCGCCUCCUUUGAUUGCACAUUAUCACAUUAUCUGUGAUACGGCAUCUUAACAAAUACCCCUCUUGUUUACAUAACGCGAGGGAAAGANNNNNNNNNNNNNUGAGACUGAUGCAAAUUAUAAUAUACACAUGGAUGGUGAUAAAAUAAUGAGGGUAUAUGCGCAGGUCUUAGCUUGUUCUUGCACAGGGCGUACCAUGGACAUCCAUGAGAACAAGGUUCCGGUACAGGGGUUGAACAUGAACAUCACUCGGAGCGUGGAAGCAAGAACCCAAAACCAGAGUUUUCACGAAUUAAUGGCGGAGGAUCUAUGUCAGCUAUUUCUACUUGUUGCAUUGACUUGGAGAUGUCAUCCACAGUGAAUGGGAUGCUUGAGUCAUCAUCUAACAGAAAAGAACUGCUGACAGCAUUGUUUGAGUCCUCAGUCAUCAUAAUUCUCAUACUAGAUAUAACAUCUGAAGAUACACUAUGCGUGCCAUAUUUG